rnacentral:rRNA from 1 species
CGGGGGCCCGCACAAGCGGUGGAGCAUGUGGUUUAAUUCGAUGCAACGCGAAGAACCUUACCUGGUCUUGACAUCCACAGAAGUUUCCAGAGAUGGGAAUGUGCCUUCGGGAACUGUGAGACAGGUGCUGCAUGGCUGUCGUCAGCUCGUGUUGUGAAAUGUUGGGUUAAGUCCCGCAACGAGCGCAACCCUUAUCCUUUGUUGCCAGCGGUCCGGCCGGGAACUCAAAGGAGACUGCCAGUGAUAAACUGGAGGAAGGUGGGGAUGACGUCAAGUCAUCAUGGCCCUUACGANCCAGGGCUACACACGUGCUACAAUGGCGCAUACAAAGAGAAGCGACCUCGCGAGAGCAAGCGGACC